UUGGAUGUGAGGAUCCUUUCCCCAAAUGAUCGACUAUGAUUAUACUAUGCGCAAAUGUAAUCCCAUCUCAGGAUUCCAAGCCAGAAAUCUGAUCCAU
rnacentral:snoRNA from 1 species